rnacentral:ncRNA from 1 species
GGGGAUAUGGCGAAAUUGGUAGACGCUACGGACUUAAUUGGAUUGAGCCUUGGUAUGGAAACCCACUAAGUGAUAACUUUCAAAUUCAGAGAAACCCUGGAAUUAAUAAAAAGGGCAAUCCUGAGCCAAAUCCCGUUUUCCGAAACCAAAGGUUCAGAAAGUGAAAAAAGGAUAGGUGCAGAGACUCAACGGAAGUUGUUCUAACAAAUGGAGUUGGCUGCGUUAGUAGAGAAAUCUUUCCAUCGAAAAUUCAAAAAGAAUGAAGUGAAGGAUAAACGUAUAUACAUACGUAUUGAAUACUAUAUCAAAUGAUUAAUGACGGACCCGACUGAAUCUGUAUUUUUAUAUACGAAAAACGGAAGAAUUGGUGUGAAUAGAUUCCACAUUGAAGAAAGAAUCGAAUAUUCAUUGAUCAAAUGAUUCACUCCAUAGUCUGAUAGAUCUUUUCAAGAACUGAUUAAUCGGACGAGAAUAAAGAUAGAGUCCCGUUCUACAUGUCAAUGCCGGCAACAAUGAAAUUUAUAGUAAGAGGAAAAUCCGUCGACUUUAAAAAUCGUGAGGGUUCAAGUCCCUCUAUCCCCAA